UACGUAGGGGGCGAGCGUUGUCCGGAUUUACUGGGCGUAAAGCGCGUGUAGGCGGCCGGCUAAGUCGGGUGUGAAAGCCCGGGGCUCAACCCCGGGAUGCCGCCCGAGACUGGUCGGCUUGAGGACGGAAGAGGGGCGUGGAAUUCCUGGUGUAGCGGUGAAAUGCGUAGAGAUCAGGAGGAACACCCGUGGCGAAGGCGG
rnacentral:rRNA from 1 species